rnacentral:piRNA from 1 species
UGCUGAUUGAGGUAGCCAUAUUGAAUUGAUA